UACGUAGGGUGCAAGCGUUGUCCGGAAUUAUUGGGCGUAAAGAGCUCGUAGGCGGUUUGUCGCGUCUGCUGUGAAAACUCGGGGCUUAACUCCGGGCCUGCAGUGGUACGGGCAGACUAGAGUGCGGUAGGGGAGACUGGAAUUCCUGGUGUAGCGGUGAAAUGCGUAGAUAUCUGGAGGAAUACCGGUGGCGAAGGCGGCAUCCUGGACCAUUACUGACACUGAUCCGCGAAAGCUAGGGAGCAA
rnacentral:rRNA from 1 species